rnacentral:tRNA from 1 species
AGGAACUUAGGUUAACAAUAAACCAGUGGCCUUCAAAGCCACCAAUGAAGGUGAAACCCCCUCAGUCCCUG